rnacentral:rRNA from 1 species
UACGUAGGUGGCAAGCGUUGUCCGGAUUUAUUGGGCGUAAAGCAUGCGUAGGCGGAUAUUUAAGUGGGAUGUGAAAUCCCGGAGCUCAACUCCGGUGCUGCAUUCCAAACUGGAUAUCUAGAGUACAGGAGAGGAAAGUGGAAUUCCUAGUGUAGCGGUGAAAUGCGUAGAGAUUAGGAAGAACACCAGUGGCGAAGGCGACUUUCUGGACUGUAACUGACGCUGAGGCAUGAAAGCGUGGGUAGCAAACAGG